UACGUAGGGCGCAAGCGUUAUCCGGAAUUAUUGGGCGUAAAGAGCUCGUAGGCGGUUUGUCGCGUCUGCUGUGAAAGACCGGGGCUCAACUCCGGUUCUGCAGUGGGUACGGGCAGACUAGAGUGAUGUAGGGGAGACUGGAAUUCCUGGUGUAGCGGUGAAAUGCGCAGAUAUCAGGAGGAACACCGAUGGCGAAGGCAGGUCUCUGGGCAUUAACUGACGCUGGAGGAGCGAAAGCAUGGGGAGCGAACAGG
rnacentral:rRNA from 1 species